rnacentral:rRNA from 1 species
UACGUAGGGGGCUAGCGUUGUCCGGAUUUAUUGGGCGUAAAGAGCGCGUAGGCGGCCGAGUAAGUCCGACGUGAAAUCUGGAGGCUCAACCUCCAGCGGUCGUUGGAAACUACUCGGCUAGAGUCCGGAAGAGGAGAGUGGAAUUCCUGGUGUAGCGGUGGAAUGCGCAGAUAUCAGGAGGAACACCAAUAGCGAAGGCAGCUCGCUGGGACGUUACUGACACUGAGGCGCGAAAGCGUGGGGAGCGAACAGG